AUGAGGGGUGGCGACAAAGGGUUGCAGGUUUGGUUGGUGUUGAACCUCCCCCGUGGAUUCAUGAAACAAAGAAGGAUCCUAGGCCAUCUGGUGUUUUGUUCUCAUGGCUACAAGAACAUUUUUACGAGUGCCCAGAGAAUGCCAGUCCGGCUGUUGUGGAGAGGUACGCCAGGGCUUACUUAUGGAAUCUUUUGA
rnacentral:rRNA from 1 species